GGCAAUGAAGUGAACAAGUAUGGGAAUAAUGCAGAAGGCCAUGAUGAAGAAUCAAAAUUCAAAGGAUUGUUUACUAAACCAAUUCCAUUUGUUAAACCUAUUCUAAAGCCAGUUCCUGUUAUUAAACCUAUUCCAAAGCCAGUUCCUGUUAUUAAACCUAUUCUAAAGCCAAUUCCUGUUAUUAAACCUAUUCUAAAACCAAUUCCUGUUAUCAAACCUAUUCUAAAACCAAUUCCUGUUAUCAAACCUAUUCUAAAACCAAUUCCUGUUAUCAAACCUAUUCCAAAGCCAGUUCCUGUUAUUAAACCUAUUCCUAUUCCAGUUUUUAAUAAGCCUGUACCAAAAUCAAUUUCCAUUAAGCCCACACCAAAACCAAUUCCAGACAUAAAGCCAAUUCCCAGUGAAGAAGUAAAAUUCAAAGGUCUUUUCCCAAAACCUAUUCCCAAAAUUAAGGCAAUACCAAAGGUAAUUCCAGUUGUUAAGCCUAUUUAUAUUCCAGUUGUUAAGCCUCUACCAAAGAUAGUUCCCAUUGUUAAGCCAAUUCCUAUUCUUAAACCUAAGCUAGUUCCCAUUGUUAAGCCAAUUCCAAUUCUUAAACCUAUUCCAAAACCAUUUACUGUGAAAAAGCCAGUCCCUACAGUUGAAUCUGAAGAACUUUUGAAACCAAAGCCCUUGUUCAAAAAGUAUAUUCCUAAAAUACCAUUUCAUCACCAAUUCAAGAAACCAUUUGUAGCACCAUUGCCAAUUC
rnacentral:lncRNA from 1 species